GCAAUGGAAUACCGUCCUCCUAAUGGUUUCAUGAGCUUCCUUCAAGGCCAAAGUCAUCCAAACUUCACUUUGCCAGCCCCUCAGCAGCUUGGUUUCCAAUAUCCAAUGUUCUGCACGCAGCCGCCGCCACCACCAGCCAAGCACCACCCUCUUCCAUCAACGUCUAAUCCCAGGACCACAACUCCAUCGAACAAGCGAAAACGUGUCACAAUCGAUGUGGAAGCAGAUGAUGAAGAUAGACAGAGGUUGUACUAUACAAAAGAUGAGGACCUCAGAUUGGUGAGUGCUUGGUUAAGCAAAUCUGUGAAUCCAAUCGAUGGGAAUGCCAAGAAGGGGGAAUACUACUGGAAGGAGGUUGUUGAUACAUACAAC
rnacentral:rRNA from 1 species